rnacentral:rRNA from 1 species
CGGGAAGCCAUGCGGCGACGCAGAGCAGAACCCGAAAAACCCUGUCUCAGUUCGGAUUGGAGUCUGCAACCCGACUCCAUGAAGUUGGAAUCGCUAGUAAUCGCGGAUCAGCAUGCCGCGGUGAAUACGUUCCCGGGCCUUGUACACACCGCCCGUCACACCAUGAGAGUCGGGAACACCCGAAGUCCGUAGCCUAACCGCAAGGGGGGCGCGGCCGAAGGUGGGUUCGAUAAUUGGGGUGAAGUCGUAACAAGGUAGC